GCCUCUAUACCUGUGUAUUAUAUGUCUAAUAUUCUUUUCUAUAAGAAGUUCUUAGGAAAGCUCACAGUGAUUAUAAGAAACUUCUGGUGGACAGGUGUAAGGGAUGAAGCUACUACAAAAAGCUUGUGCCUUAGGGCAUGGACAAACAUUUGCAUUGAGAAGAAAAUUGGUGGUUUAGGCAUCAAGAACUUGCGGGCAAUUAAUCAAGGACUUAUUCUUUCUGCGGCAUGGAGGUUGGCAAAAGAACCAAAUAGUCAGAUGGCUUUGAUCCUCAAGGCUAAGUAUCACCAUGACACGUCCAUUUGGGAGAGCCAAAGCAAACAAGCCAAAAUCAGCUUUCUGGGCUGA
rnacentral:rRNA from 1 species